rnacentral:rRNA from 1 species
UACGUAGGGGCCUAGCGUUGUCCGGAAUUAUUGGGCGUAAAGAGCUCGUAGGCGGUUCGGCAAGUCGGAUGUGAAAUCUCCACGCUUAACGUGGAGGGGCCAUUCGAAACUGCUGUGACUCGAGUCCGGUAGGGGAGUGUGGAAUUCCCGGUGUAGCGGUGAAAUGCGCAGAUAUCAGGAGGAACACCAAUGGCGAAGGCAGCUCGCUGGGACGGUACUGACGCUGAGACGCGAAAGCGUGGGGAGCAAACAGG